GGGUGUAUUUCCAAGGAGAGGUGGACAGAACAGGUGACUAAAACUGACCAACUGAGUAUUCCAUCCCAUACGCGUCAUACACGAGGGUCUCGCUCUCUUUGACCGUGGCCGGCAUCUAAAGAGGAUUCUGCCACCCAUGGCUGUGAUCCAAGGCCUGAGACUCUGCAUCCCUGAAUCCAGUUUCUGGUUUACUGUGAAGUCCCACACAGGACUUUUGGGUGCCUGCCUUGCAGCUGCUGGAGUCACGCCAGCUCCCAGCUCUGUCACAGUCACUGUCACUGCUGGAAGCACGCCUACUCCACACGGGAGGCAUUAAACACUGCUCUACCCUGGGACAUUCAAGAUUGGAGACACUGAAAAUGUGCUGUGAGAUUUGACUUCCUUCCUUUUUUACCCUGAUGAAAGCAUUAACAGAGCUGAUUAUUAGCAAGACCUCAGUCAGCUGGAUGCCAGUGAUACAGAGCAUUCAUUUACAUUUGGCAAGACUGAAGGGUAUCUUCCAUUUGUUUUAAUUCUGCACAUUCCUCCAGCUGCUACCUUCACCUUCUCUUGUCUCUCUCUGUCCUUGCUGUCUGAACUCCAGGAGCCUCCAGGGGCACUGCCAGUUCACAGCAGCUGUUACCACCCUCCUAACACAUUAACA